rnacentral:lncRNA from 1 species
GCAGCAUUUAUGGGACUUAUGGGACCCUGGUUUGUUCCCAGAAGAAUGAAUUGUUAUAAAAAGAAUAAAACUGACUCUUUCUCACUCUCUGGCUUCUUGUCUUGUCACAGAAUUGUGCUGUGCUCCUUACCAAUGUCAUGACUCCUGCUACGAGGCCUUUAAUAGAGCCUAGUACAAGCUGGCAACAUUUUCCUGAACCCUUGGCUUAUUUUCUUUUUAAACUACCAAGCCUAAGGUCAUGGAUGCUCCCUUGUGCAGCAAAUCCGUG